AUUGAACGCUGGCGGAAUGCUUUACACAUGCAAGUCGAGCGGCAGCACGGGGGCAACCCUGGUGGCGAGCGGCGAACGGGUGAGUAAUACAUCGGAACAUGCCCAGUCGUGGGGGAUAACACUUCGAAAGAAGUGCUAAUACCGCAUACGUCCUGAGGGGGAAAGCGGGGGAUCGCAAGACCUCGCGCGAUUUGAGUGGCCGAUGUCAGAUUAGCUAGUUGGUGGGGUAAAGGCCUACCAAGGCAACGAUCUGUAGCUGGUCUGAGAGGAUGAUCAGCCACACUGGGACUGAGACACGGCCCAGACUCCUACGGGAGGCAGCAGUGGGGAAUUUUGGACAAUGGGGGCAACCCUGAUCCAGCCAUUCCGCGUGAGUGAAGAAGGCCUUCGGGUUGUAAAGCUCUUUCGGCAGGAACGAAACGGUGAGCUCUAACAUAGCUUGCUAAUGACGGUACCUGAAGAAGAAGCACCGGCUAACUACGUG
rnacentral:rRNA from 1 species